rnacentral:tRNA from 1 species
GUCUUUGUAGUAUACUGAUUACUUUGGUCUUGUAAACCAAAAACGGAGAACACUCUCUCCCUAAGACUC